GCCAGAUGCGGUGGCUCAGGCCUGUAAUCCCAGCUAUUCAGGAGGCUGAGGCAGAAGAAUCACUUGAACCCAGGAGGCAGAGGUUGCAGUGAACUGAGAUCAUGCCACUGUGCUCCAGCCUGGGUGACAGAGUGAGACUCCAUCUCAANNNNNNNNNNUUGAGAUGGAGUCUCACUCUGUCACCCAGGCUGGAGCACAGUGGCAUGAUCUCAGUUCACUGCAACCUCUGCCUCCUGGGUUCAAGUGAUUCUUCUGCCUCAG
rnacentral:SRP_RNA from 1 species